rnacentral:rRNA from 1 species
AGAGUUUGAUCCUGGCUCAGAACGUACGCUGGCGGCACGCCUAACACAUGCAAGUCGAACGCAGUAGCAAUACUGAGUGGCAAACGGGUGAGUAUAAUGUGGGAAUCUGCCUUUUGGUUUGGAAUAACACGGGGAAACUUGUGCUAAUACCGAAUAAGCCCUUACGGGGAAAGUUUUAAUGCCGAAAGAUGAGCCCGCACUUGAUUAGCUAGUUGGUAAGGUAAAAGCUUACCAAGGCAACGAUCAAUAGCUGUUCUUAGAGGAAGACCAGCCACAUUGGGACUGAGACACGGCCCAGACUCCUACGGGAGGCAGCAGUGGGGAAUCUUGCACAAUGGAGGAAACUCUGAUGCAGCGAUGCCGCGUGAGUGAAGAAGGCCCUUGGGUUGUAAAGCUCUUUCGUCGGGGAAGAAAAUGACUGUACCCGAAUAAGAAGGUCCGGCUAACUUCGUGCCAGCAGCCGCGGUAAUACGAAGGGACCUAGCGUAGUUCGGAAUUACUGGGCUUAAAGAGUUCGUAGGUGGUUGAAAAAGUUGGUGGUGAAAUCCCAGAGCUUAACUCUGGAACUGCCAUCAAAACUUUUCAGCUAGAGUAUGAUAGAGGAAAGCAGAAUUUCUAGUGUAGAGGUGAAAUUCGUAGAUAUUAGAAAGAAUACCAAUUGCGAAGGCAGCUUUCUGGAUCAUUACUGACACUGAGGAACGAAAGCAUGGGUAGCGAAGAGGAUUAGAUACCCUCGUAGUCCAUGCCGUAAACGAUGUGUGUUAGACGUUGGAAAUUUAUUUUCAGUGUCGCAGCGAAAGCGAUAAACACACCGCCUGGGGAGUACGACCGCAAGGUUAAAACUCAAAUGAAUUGACGGGGACCCGCACAAGUAGUGGAGCAUGUGGUUUAAUUCGAAGAUACGCGCAGAACCUUACCAACACUUGACAUGUUCGUCGCGACUCUAAGAGAUUAGAGUUUUCGGUUCGGCCGGACGAAACACAGGUGCUGCAUGGCUGUCGUCAGCUCGUGUCGUGAGAUGUUGGGUUAAGUCCCGCAACGAGCGCAACCCUCACUUUUAGUUGCCAUCAUUAAGUUGGGCACUCUGAAAGAACUGCCAGUGAUAAGCUGGAGGAAGGUGGGGAUGACGUCAAGUCCUCAUGGCCCUUACGUGUUGGGCUACACACGUGCUACAAUGGUAUCUACAACAGGAAGCAAGACGGCGACGUUUAGCAAAUCCCUAAAAGAUACCUCAGUUCGGAUUGCACUCUGCAACUCGAGUGCAUGAAGCUGGAAUUACUAGUAAUCGUGGAUCAGCGUGCCACGGUGAAUGCGUUCCCGGGUCUUGUACACACCGCCCGUCACACCAUGGGAGUUGGUUCUACCUUAAGGCAAGGUUUAAUACCCUUGACCACGGUAUAGUCAGCGACUGGGGUGAAGUCGUAACAAGGUAACC